rnacentral:tmRNA from 1 species
GGGGAUGUAAAGGUUUCGACGGGGAUUGUAAACUUAAAUAAGCGAGUAGCGGUGCGGAACCGCUAUAAAAUCCGUAUGUUUAUAAAUUAAACAACAAUAACACACAACUCUGCGCAGCUUAAGUCUGCGUCGUCUUAUCAGAGCUUACCGCGGCUCUGAAUAAGGCGUCAUUUAGCGGUGAACGUGAAUAAAAGAGUGUCUCGGCUUUUAUCAUGAACUAGAGUCUACCGAAGUGCAGAGCCUGUCUUUGGGCGAUGCAUGGGGGGGAAUCCUAAUACAAAGACUGCACUCGGAGAAAGUUUAAGCAAAUGGUUUUCGGACGCGGGUUCAAUUCCCGCCAUCUCCACCA